AUUGAACGCUGGCGGCAGGCCUAACACAUGCAAGUCGAGCGAGCGGCGGACGGGUGAGUAAUGUAUGGGAACUGCACUGUCGAGGGGGAUAACGGCUGGAAACGGAAGAUAAUACCACAUACUAUGAGAUAACCCAUGGUGGAUUAGCUAGUUGGUGGGGUAAAGGCUCACACAGGCGACGAUCCCUAGCUGGGCUGAGAGGAUGAUCGGCCACACUGGGACUGAGACACGGUCCAGACUCCUACGGAGGCAGCAGUGGGGAAUAUUGCACAAUGGGCGCAAGCCUGAUGCAGCCAUGCCGCGUGUAUGAAGAAGGCCUUAGGGUUGUAAAGUACUUUUAGUCGGGAGGCGUUACCGACAGAAGAAGCACCGGCUAACUCCGUGCCAGCAGCCGCGGUAAUUC
rnacentral:rRNA from 1 species